rnacentral:tRNA from 1 species
GUUACAUUGGCAGAUUAGUGCAAUAAAUUUAGAAUUUACAAAUAUGAUUUAUUUUUCAUAUGUAACA